UACAGAGGGGGCGAGCGUUGUUCGGAAUUACUGGGCGUAAAGGGCGCGUAGGCGGCCAACUAAGUCAGACGUGAAAUCCCUCGGCUCAACCGGGGAACUGCGUCUGAUACUGGAUGGCUUGAAUUCGGGAGAGGGAUGCGGAAUUCCAGGUGUAGCGGUGAAAUGACGUAGAUAUCUGGAGGAACACCGGUGGCGAAGGCGGCAUCCUGGACCGAGAUUGACGCUGAUGGCGCGAAAGCCAGGGGAGCAAACGGG
rnacentral:rRNA from 1 species